AAUAGUAUUGGUCAUAGAGUCUUCCUUUCUUAAGAAGCUUACCAUUAACCUAAUGGCCAAAGGAUCCCAAAAGGAAAUGAAUUUGGGUUGGCUUGAAGAUUUCACAUGGUCCAAACAUUCGUAUUUACUAGAUGCCUGAUACAAAAGAAAUUUUGCUCUCUUUUCAAUUUAGCCAUUGAUGUAGUCUAAAUGUUUUAUUAGAGCAAUAAUUGUCGAGUAAAUGCAAAAUAGAGAAUGGUGUUAAUGAAUUCAGUACUUCAUUUAUGUUGUAGACUUGUAGUUUAGCAGCUUCUGUUGAUAAUGAGUGUGAGGUUGGCUUUAUCAUGUCACUGUUCCAAAUAUUCUUAAAAAAAAUAAUUUAAGCUCUGUAUGGUUCUUAGAAAAUUUAAGGGAAAAUGUGAGGAAAACAAAAUAGAGAGGAAAAGUGGAAGGAAAAAAAAGUGAAAGUCAAUAAAUUAUUUUUGUAUGCUACUUCAAACUCACUUCACUUUUUUUUAACUCUUCAAUAUAAAGAUUAAAUCAUUUGAAAAAUGUGUAAAUUUCUAAUUAAUUUUAAUUAUAUUUGAUUUUCUUUGGUAUUUUCCAAAAGACAACCAAAUAUGAGAAAAUCAUUUUCCUUUACAUUUUUUUUCUUAGUACUUUUAGGGAACCAAACAUAACCUAACUGUUUUAGUUUAGUAGUUUCAUCAAAUUAGAUAGACAACCUCACAUCUCUUAGUGAGCUGAGGUGCUAUGUCAAUUAAUGCUUUGUCUCUACUCUUCAUUGAAGUCUCUAUCUAUUGGAUGCACAGAUGAUAUGAUCUAAACUCAAAUUGAACACUGUUCUUGUUUUGCAACAUUACUGCACUCGAAAGGCAACUUCAACUCACUUAUAGACCUUCCUAUUGGUGAUUGCACUGAAUCGACAUCACUUUGGAAGAGAUGUGUUCCACACAGAAAAUCUUUCAUUAUAUUCACCUACUCGCAAGAUACCAAAGGGAAACAGGUGAAUACUUGCCCAAGAAUACAAAGGUCAUACUUGGUGAAGGUUCCAUCAAUAAGGAGAACCAUUUCAAGAAUGGAAUUCUCAUUUCUUCUCAUUUUCUUAUGGCUUCAUUUUUAUUCAAUAUCUAUAUGAAAUUAUUUAUGUUCAUUUUCUUUAGAUAUUACAUUUUUUUGCUUUCUCAAUAAUUUCAUUCAAGUUCUUUUGGAUAUCACAUUUUCUUUGGUGUUUUUUUUAGAAUAAUUCAAAAUGUCUUUUUUAACGGUUCACAAAAUUUGAUCACAGUUGAGUGAUUAAAAUUCAAGUUUAUUAUUAUUAUUAUUAUUGGUUAUUUGAUAUAUUUGUUUUCUUAUACAGAUAAAAGACUAGCAGCUAUUGUGCAUAGAAUUUGUAGAAGAGAAUAAAGAUUUGAUCUAAGUUAUUCCUAAUAGGUUGAGGAAUUCAUUCUUGUAAAAAUUGAGUGUUAAAGCCUUCAAGAGGUUUGAAUCUUGAAGAAAUUAUGUGAGAGCCCAUUGGAGCCAGAAUCCAAGUGUAAAGGAGAUUGGAAGCUUUGUUGAAACUUCAAGUUAGUGGAACCCUCACUCGGUUAGGAGAUUGAGGAGAGUGGAUGUAGGCAAGGAAAUGCCGAACCACUAUAAAAUCCAAGUUUAAAUUCUCUAACUCUAUCUCUUUAUUUUUUUAUUAUAUUGUACUUGAAUUUGUUGUGUUGAAAAAGUUUUUGAAAAACCCAAUUCACCUUCCUCUUAGGUGUUUUUCUCAUUUAAGCAUAGCCUUUAUUUUCUCACACUUGAAAUCCUUUCUCAUUAAUUUGCUUCCACCCCAUAAGCAACCCUCGAAACCACUUACACCAUGACAAGGUGAAAAGAAACUAAUGCAACAUUCUCAAUAUAUAAGAAGAUAUCAAAGGAAGGUUGGCCACAUAUGAGGACCCUGUUUCUAAGGUAGAAUUUUAGAUUUUUGUGUUUUUCCUAUCACUAUUCCUAUACUAUUACCAGUGCACCUUAUUUGUCAAGAUCAUUAAAAGGGAAUUCCCUAGGAUAACUACUGUCUCAACUGAUCUUGAGGUUCAUAAAUUUUUAGUUUCCACAAGAUAGGUGCCAACUAUUUUUAUUUUUUUUACACCCAUGCAAUAUUCCAAUCAUCUAUUAACAAGGGCUAAAAUUUCUUGUAGAGAAUAGAAUAAAGAACUAGAUUACAUGAAAAUAGGACAUUAUUAUUCUAUUUACAAGUAAGGGCCAAAAAUUGUUGAGGGUCAUCAAGCACAUUGUUCCUAAAAUAAUAGCAUCCAUGAAGAUUGAACUGAUACAGAAUGCCUUUCAGGUUUAAAAUCCCUAACUUUCCUUCUUAUUUUCUAUGACUUCAUUUUUAUUAUCUUACAUUAAAAAAUCCUCUAUUUUCAUUUGUUUUGGUAGUUCUUUUUAUUUGCACCUUAUUUGUUUUAUUAAAUGCUUACUCCAGUAAGUUUGAAAAUUUUUACAUCUUCAAAUCAUUUUGCUUAAGUGUUUUGCAUUCUAAGAGUUUGAGGAAAUAUUGAGCUCUAAUAUAAAUAGUAUUGGUCAUAGAGUCUUCCUUUCUUAAGAAGCUUACCAUUGACCUAAUGGCCAAAGGAUCCCAAAAGGAAACGACUUUGGGUUGGCUUGAAAAUUUCACAUGGUCCAAACAUUUAUAUUUACUAGAUGCCUGAUACAAAAGAAAUUUUGCUCUCUUUUUAAUUUAGCCAUUGAUGUAGUCUAAAUGUUUUAUUAGAGCAAUAAUUGUCGAGUAAAUGCAAAAUAGAGAAUGGUGUUAAUGAAUUCAGUACUUCAUCUAUGUUGUAGACUUGUAGUUUAGUAGCUUCUGUUGAUAAUGAGUGUGGGGUUGGCUUUAUCAUGUCACUGUUCCAAAUAUUCUACAAAAAAAAAUCAUUUAAGCUUUGUUUGGUUCUUAGAAAAUUUGAGGGAAAAUGUGAGGAAAAUAAAAUAGAGAGGAAAAGUGGAAGGAAAAAAAA
rnacentral:lncRNA from 1 species